rnacentral:rRNA from 1 species
AGAUUGAACGCUAGCGGGAUGCUUUACACAUGCAAGUCGAACGGCAGCGCGGACUUCGGUCUGGCGGCGAGUGGCGAACGGGUGAGUAAUAUAUCGGAACGUGCCCAGUAGCGGGGGAUAACUACGCGAAAGCGUGGCUAAUACCGCAUACGCCCUACGGGGGAAAGGGGGGGAUCGCAAGACCUCUCACUAUUGGAGCGGCCGAUAUCAGAUUAGCUAGUUGGUGAGGUAAAGGCUCACCAAGGCGACGAUCUGUAGCUGGUUUGAGAGGACGACCAGCCACACUGGGACUGAGACACGGCCCAGACUCCUACGGGAGGCAGCAGUGGGGAAUUUGGACAAUGGGGGAAACCUGAUCCAGCCAUCCCGCGUGUGCGAUGAAGGCCUUCGGUUGUAAGACGACUUUGGUCG